UAAGGUGGUUAUUGCGUCGGGGCUCACCUCUUCCCAUUCCGAACAGAGAAGUUAAGCCCGACAGCGCAGAUGGUACUGCAUAACUGUGGGAGAGUAUGUCGCCGCCUUGU
rfam:Flavobacterium fontis strain DSM 25660 genome assembly, contig: Ga0131152_127